CUUUGGUUUCAGAGAUAUAUAAGCCAAAAUCUACAUUUCGCCCCUAUGUACUAUUUUUAGUCAUGGCGGCCAUCUUGGUUGGUUGGCAGGGUCACGCCACACAUUUUUAAAACUAGAUACAUAAAUGAUGAUUGUGGCCAAGUUUGGUUAAAUUCGGCCUAGUAGUUUCAGAGGAGAAGAUUUUUUAAAAAGAAUACUAAAAUU
rnacentral:lncRNA from 1 species